AGUAACCUACGGGAGGCAGCAGUGGUGAAUAUUGCACAAUGGGCGAAAGCCUGAUGCAGCAACGCCGCGUGAAGGAAGAAGGGUUUCGGCUCGUAAACUUCUAUCAACAGGGACGAAAGAAAUGACGGUACCUGAAUAAGAAGCCCCGGCUAACUACGUGCCAGCAGCCGCGGGAAUACGUAGGGGGCAAGCGUUAUCCGGAAUUACUGGGUGUAAAGGGUGAGUAGGGGGCAUGGGAAGCCAGAUGUGAAAGCCUUGGGCUUAACCCGAGGAUUGCAUUUGGAACUAUCAAGCUAGAGUACAGG
rnacentral:rRNA from 1 species